GUGUCCCAAGGGAGCCAAUGAGGGGCUGGGGGCGGGGCGCCGCAAGGAACCCUUGAGACCUGGCGGGCCCAGGCGGCAGGCCGGAGUAGCGGAGGCCAGAGCCUUGAGGAGACGAGGGUAGGAAGGGCCAGCUCUGCUCACGGUGCUCCCUGGACACUCCAGACAUCCACUCUGUGAGGUGACAUCUCCAGGCAAAAGCAGCCUAAGAGAGUGCCAAGGUCAGCGGGACAGAGGGCCUGUGAACUCAAGCGUAGGUGGAAGGAUUCACUUUGAGACGUGACAUCUUGGAGCCACACGGCCCAAAGGAGCUUGCCUGGUUGAAUAAAGAAACCACUCAACAAAGGAUGCUCCUUCCCCAGCCUGAAGAAGCGGCUGGUGCCACCUACAGCCUGGAAACUGGCUCUACAAUCCUCACCUGCCGCCCUGGCUGGUCUUCCGUGGAAGAGAGAUUAGAAUUGAUGCAGGGGAUGGAAAAUGGGCAGUCAACUCUCAAGAUGAAUUUUCCCUGAUAAAUUGUCAACAACUAGAAACGUGUUUAAAAAUUAUUUUGACUAAAGAGCUUUUGAAGAUUGUAGCAAUUAGAUCAAGAUUUGUGAACUACAUUUCCUAUAAAUAUAUUUCUUCUAGAGAGCACCUUAUGGGAUGUGGUCACAUAUUUUUUUUUUGGUCUAUAGCAACCCCAAAACGUUCAACUCAGUGCUAGAUUAGGUUAGUGGGUACACGCUUAUCCACAUUGUCUUAUUUUAGGGGAAAAGAGAUUACUGUGAAACCAUCAGAUAACACACGCUUCUGAAAAGAAAUGAAAUGUAUUUUUAUCGGUGGAGCCAAAAUGAAGUAUGUCUUGAAAUCUGUUUUACAAAUAAGCUUGUUCAUAAAUUGUCCAUUCACUGCU